AAUAUUGCGCAAUGGAGGGAACUCUGACGCAGCGACGCCGCGUGAGCGAUGAAGGUCUUCGGAUCGUAAAGCUCUGUCCUUGGGGAAGAAGGUCUUCGGACUUGACGGUACCUAAGGAGGAAGCCCCGGCUAACUACGUGCCAGCAGCCGCGGUAAUUCGUAGGGGGCAAGCGUUGUCCGGAAUUAUUGGGGGUAAAGGGUGCGUAGGCGGCCUUUUAAAGCAGAAGUGAAAGCCCACCGGUUAACCGUGGGACUGCAAUUGAAACUGGGGGGCUUGAGUAUCGGAGAGGGUAGUGGAAUUCCCAGUGUAGCGGUGGAAUGCGUAGAUAUUGGGAGGAACACCAGUGGCGAAGGCGACUACCUGGACGAAAACUGACGCUGAGGCACGAAAGCUAGGGGAGCAAACA
rnacentral:rRNA from 1 species